ensembl:lncRNA
AUUGAUGAAUACAUUGAAGCCAGGAUAACUUUGCACUGAAAAUGUAUUAAGCCUCUUAAAUGCAACAGCUUCUAGCUGCUCUCACAGGCUGGGAAUUUGGUUUCAUAGCUCAAGCAUAAGGAAAUGACUCCUACUUUUCAUUACCUUUUAUUUUGUAACGUUCACCUGCUAGACAAAAAGCCUGUAGGGUACAGUUUUGAAAUGGGCCACUGUUGUUUGGUAAAACAUCUCUUGGACUUCCUUCCCCUCCCUCUCCUUCUGAGUUUAAUGGUAUCCAAAUUCAAAAUGUGUCUAAACACAGGUUUUAGUUCUGGGAAAUGGAGGUUAUCUGCAAUUCGCUUAUUCUACUUGAUUUUAAUGACUUCAUUCAAUAUAAUAUGAAGGAAAAGGACAGCAGGUUCCCAACCAGUCUGAACUCUUUUUGAUGUGUUCAGCUUGUUUAUGGCAAGGUCAGCUCAGAUCUUUACUUGCAAUAUCUGAUUUUUAUUGUCAGAGUUUUUUCAUAUAUCUUCAUCAUUAAAAAUUGUUUAGCUCUUCCAAAAUAUCUGUAGGGAAGCCUGAAUAGCGCAUAUCCCAUCCCUGCUGGAAGAGCACCGUGUAAGCCCGUGUGCCCCAAGUCACAGCUUCCAGGUGCAGAAGCAAUGGAAACCCUUCUGCAAAGGACAGCUUCCUGCAGGCAAGCACAUAAGGCGGGAUGGUAAAGCUCAACUACGGUCUUUCAUCCGUGGCCUUGUAGUUCUGUCUAACUGCAGAAAAAGAAAUGGAUGAAAGGACAUAAAGAUUUCCUGGGUCAUUAAUUUCCUCUAAUUAGAAGCACUAAGGGUUUUCCCUGUAUGUGUUAGUGGCUGAUGAUAGGAAAUAGCCGAGGUGUGGCCGCCUGCUAACAGCACCUGGAGUGUCCUUGUCUGAGAUUUGAUUUCUACUGUGCCUUUCUUAGAGACAGCCUUUCUGUGGCAAUAUAGUAAGGCUGAAGAUUCCCACAGUACUGUGGCCAGUUAAUAAUCAAUGUCAAAAUUAAAUGCAUUUCCAAAUGUUAAAAAGGGAAAGAUAAAUAAUUCCUUCAAAAAUACGUACAUUUAAAAAUGUAUAUAAUUGAUACUUGCAGAUAACAUCAGAUUUGAUCACAAAAGUUUGAACUUCUGUCAGCAUAUCUGAUCUCAACGUACUUGAAUUGCUAUGGAAGAUUUUUAUUACAUAUUUCUUGAUUCAUGUCAUGCUAGGAUAGACUAUAUGCCUGCAUAUAUUUCCCAAAUACCUAAUCCUUUCAGGCAUGCUAAAUAUCAUUCCAUGUAUGUUCUCGGGGAUUUGGUUUUGCUCUGUUUCUUAUUGUUGUUGUUUGUUUUAAUUUUUUUAAAUGUUGGGUUUUUUUUCCAACAUAGCAUACUUCUGUUAGAGAUACAUUGAAUUUGGGAUGUUCUUAUGUUAUAGUGUGAGAUUUGUUACCCUUACAUGGAAUUGUAAAUACAUUAUUAUAAACUCUGACAUUUAAGCCCCGUGACAUGGAGAGGUGAAUGUCUCAGCUGCUUUUCCGCUGAAACCCUGUUACAACAGCUUUUUUAGAUUUUCACCUGAAAAAUAAGGCUUACUGCAUGAUUUCUGUUGCAUUUUCAUAGCUAUGCUAUUAUUUAGUUUGUUAUCAUUGUCUUAUAUGCUGUUUUUAAUGUCAUUUGUAACAGUACAUUAUUUGCACGUUCUGUUGGGGUGAAAUAGUGUCUUGUCCUGUGAACAUGAGACUGAGUGUGGAGUCCAGGCUCCUGAGACUUUGAAUCUCCCUAGACUUCCCAUUGGGCUGAAGUCAGCCCUGAGAGAGAUCAGCAGCGCAGCUCUCAACUUCAGUGGCAGUAGCACUGGGCCUUCCCUAUGUGAUAAUGGACAAGUCACUUAUCUCCUUUUCUCUCAAUUUAACCAUCCUUUACACUGAUGGACCAACAUUCAUCUACCUCACAGGAGAGCUGUGAGGACAAAUUCUUUGGUUUUAGGGUCUUUCAAGAUUCUCUGAUAAAAGGUUAUAUAUAAAAGCUUGUAGUAGAUUUACAUUUAUACUCAAUUUAAUUCAGACUGUCUUUCAAUCUAAAACCCUCCUUCUAUUGACUUCAGCAUGCCAAGAAUUUGGGGUACUUUCUCCCAUGUACCAAGCAGCAUGAUCUUCCCUCAAAUAUUCAGGCAAAAUCCCAAAUAAGAGCUGAUUGGUGAAAUUCUUAGCUUACAGUUGAUUCCCUGACAUGCAGGAAACACAAUCAAAAUAAGAGAAAAGCUGACAAUAAAAGAUUCAUGGAUCAGAAAAAGGUGAAGUGCUUUUCAUUUAAAAUUGGAAUGGGCAGGAAAAUAAAAAUGAAGUUUCAUGCAUUUCAUCUGUAUUCUUUUACUGCAUAGGAAUAAAUAUGCUUAAUAUAGACAGUUUUCAUCUCAGUAUAGUGCAGCAUGCAUAAAGCUUUGUGCAGGUUAGCUCUUUAAAACCAAAGCUUAUACAUUUCACACAUAUUAUCUGCAAUCCAGAGGAAAACAGGUAGAAUGGUGGUUGUUGAUGACAGUGAUAUUAAGGACAUCAAAAAAACCUGCAUCAGUGCUUAAUUGCUAGUGCACUUGUACUAAGUAAGGCAUGCUGUUUGUGUUCAGAGCCCUAUGGUCUUCAUUAUUGCUUUGAUUUGUGUAUCUCUCAUCAGAAUUCCAGAAACAUUAGGUACAGGUACGUGGUACAUAAUGGAACCUUUCUUGAUCAUUUUAUCAUGGAUGUAUUUUGAACUUGCAUAGGGAUAAGCAUGAAGGAGUCAUGCAUAUGUAUAAAUAAUGUAUUUGACCAAGUGUAAAAACAGUUCUGUUGAUGUAUUUGAAAUGUAAGUACAUUUUGUGCCACUAACACUGUGAUGUAUAAAAGAGCUGUUGAAUGCCUUUUAAUGUUGUGUUUUGUACUUUGAAUCAUAUUGAAGAGUUUAAUUUGUAAUUUCAAUAGAU